AUGCGCACUGUCGCUAGUUCAGACGUCGAUGAGCGAAGAGAGUCGAUAUAGACUCGCUGCACAGCGCGCAGACAGAUGUAACAGUCAGUGACUGAAAAACAAUGUCCUUUUCAAAAGUUAGAAAAGUUGACGCCGAAAACCAUGUUUUCCGAGAUGAAUGGGUCGAGAGAUUUGCAUUUAUUCUUCCUGCAUCGACAUGCACGAGACCGGUUUGUCUCAUUUGCUCGGAGUCUGUUGCGGUUGUCAAAAUUGGAAACCUUAAAAAGCAUUAUGAAAUUAGACGUGGACACUUUGAAGAAACUUACUCGCAGCGGUCCGAGGUAUUUAAUUGUCCGGACCUCGGCAAGUAAGGAGGGUUCGUUUACUGGACCUCAAGCAAUUUUAGUUGAAGACUCCUGCUGUAGAAGGACAGAGUGCCGUCCAACCAGUCCAGAUACACUCCAACUCUUUUGGGGGGUGAAGGGGUAGAUACUGUCACUGCAAUACGGCUCCACCCACUCCAUUCAGCCUCCCAGUAACAGCGUCCAGUCAGACUCUCUUUACAUAGAAUCUGAGGAACAUCAUCAAGUCUGGAUGAUCAGGAUACGGCUGAGGAUCUUUCACAUGUGUGAUGUUUUUGUUCUCCUCAGUCAGUAAGAGGUAAGUGUAUGCUGUGUUUGCAUCCAGUGUGAGAUCACAGACAUCUGAAAACAAAAUUAAAGCAACAGAACAUCUGUAAGGCAUUAAAAAGUACCUACAUUAUCUAAAGAUAAUGUGAGUGCACGGUGCUUGCCGUAAUAAAACUCAGAAAAGAGUGUUACAAUGAUGCUAGCACGUUUUAGCCAGUGGAGUGGUAUACAUCUCCGGCCUGCCCACUAUCAUAAACGGACCCACCAAGUUACAUUGAGAUCAAUGACACACAAUACUUUAAUAAAUGAAAUAUUUGUACAGUAACUACAAACAUGACUAAAACAUCUUAAAACUUAAACAAAUAAAAUGUGUUCUAACAACUUAGGAAAGUUAUCUAGGCUGUCUCAUGCUCAGCCUGUGAGUUUUAGGCCUUCCAAUCUUACUUUUCUAGUACUGCUUACAGUGGCUUGCAAAAGUAUUCAUCCCCCUUCAUUUUAUUCACAUUUUGUUAUGCUGCUGCCUUAUCUUAAACUACUUUAAAUGAUUAUUUUUUACAUUAAUCUACACUCCAUGCACAAUAAUGACAAAACAAAAAACUGAUUUUUGACAGCUUUGCAAAUUUAUUAAAAAUAAAAAACAAAAAUAAGUACAUUGCAUAAGUAUUCAUACCCUUUUCUGCGACACUUGAAACUUAGAUCAGAAGCAUUAGUUUUGCUUGUUGAUGUUUAUACACUUCGAGUGGAGUUAACCUGUGCCAAAUUCAAUUGAAUAAGUAUGAUUUGGAGUGGCACAUACAUCUCUAUAAAGGGUGCAACAGCUGAAAAUGCAUAUCAAAGUAAAAACCAAGACAUGAGGUCAAAAGAACUGCCAGUAGAGCUUUGAGACAGGAUUGUAUCAAGGCACAGAUCUGGGGAAGACUUCUGAAAAAAAUCUGCUGUAUUGAAGGUUCACAGAAACAUGUAGCCUCCAUUUAUCCUCAAUGAAAGAGGUUUGGAACCACCAGAUCUCUUACUUGAGCUGACCUCCUGUCCAAACUGAGCCAUCGAUGGAGAAGGGUCUUUGUUAGAGCGGUGACCAAGAAGCUGAUGAUUACUCUGGUUGAGCUCCAUGAUCAUAUAUGGAGAUGGGAGAAACUUACAGAAGGACAAACAUCACUGCAACACUCCACCAAUCUGGGCUUUAUAGCUUAGUGGCCAGACUCAAGCCUUUGCUCAGUGAAGACUCAUGGAAACUUGAAAUAUGCAAAAACGUACUUCAAUGAAUCUUUCAAACUGUCAGAAACAAGAUAUUCUGGUCUGAUGAAUCUCAGAUUCAUGCAUCAUGUCUGGAGAAAAACAAGCACUGCUCAUGGGUUUAAAUAGUUUUGUGAGAUGGGUUUAAAUAGUUUUGUGAAUGUUGUGAGAGAUGUGUUAGGAAGAAUGUUCCACCAGGAAGGAGUUGUGAAGGAGAAUGAGCGGGAAAGCGAUUUACUUCCCUUUUGAGAAGGCAACACAAGAUACCGCUUGUUUGUUGAACGCAGGGUUCUUGGUGGGGUGUAGGAGUAUAGGAGAGUGUGAAAGUAUGCCGGUGCAGAUCCAGUGAUAGUCCUGUAGGCGAGCACUAGUGACUUGAAUCUGAUACGGGCUUCAACUGGUAGCCAGUGGAGAGAGAUGAAAAGGGGUGUCACAUGAGCCCUUUAGGGCUGUUGGAAGACGAGGUGUGCUGCUGCAUUCUGAACCAGCUGGAGUGGUUUGAUAGCCUUUGCAGGAAGACCAGCAUGGAGAGCAUUGUAGUAGUCCAACCUAGAGAUUACCAGGGCCUGGACAAGGAUUUGUACCGCAUGCUCAGUGAGAUAGGGUCUAACCUUUCUAAUGUUGAAUAAGGCAUAUCGGCAUGACCACGUUGUCUUUGCAAUGUGAUCAUUGAAGGACAGCUGUUCAUCAAAUAUGACUCCAAGGUUCCUGGCUGUUUUGGAAGGAGUAAUUGUGGUAUUGCCAAGUUGGAUGGUGAGAUCGUGUUGCACCGUGGGGUGUGCCGGAAACACGAGUAGUUCUGUCUUUGCAGGGUUCAACUGGAGGUGAUGCUCUUUCAUCCAAGCUGAGAUGUCUUCUAGGCAAGCUGUAAUGCGAGCUGCUACAGUGGUAUCGUCUGGGUGAAACAAGAUGUAAAUCUGGGUGUGGUCAGUAUAACAGUGAUACGAGAAGCCGUGUGCCCCUAUGAUGGGUCCCAAGGAUGUCAUGUAGAUGGGGAAAAAGCAGCGGUUCAAGCAUCGAUCCCUGAGGGACCCCAUUGAUCAUGUGGUGAGCAGUGGACAGCGAGCCCCUCCUGAAGGAUCUGCCUGAGAGGUACGAUUUGGUAGGAUUAGUGACCUAUAACAUGGGAGAAUCUUUCUCCACAGCUUUGUUUUAAUUUUAGAAUUCCAGUAUUGUACAUCUGCAGUGUUUUGGGCUUCUUGACUGUGUUGCAAUGGUUUUAGCAUAAUUUUAGUACGUUUUAACAUGAUAGUGAUUUGACUGAUAGAGACUGAUAGAGUGUGACUAACAGGGGAUUAGAAUGAAGAAUAAGGGGGUUAUGGGCUGUUAGUGAGAGCAGGAAUUUGAAAUCACAAUCUGUCCAUUCUCCAUUGUUAAUUUAAGUGAUUUUUUUCUCGCUUUUUUGGUCUGCUUUUAUCAAACUGAUUAGAAAGAUACGAAAGCGUUACAUGCCUAAGUCUAUCCUGAAAAAGAACUGUCUAACAAGCACCACUAAUGAGGUCUAAUAAAAGUCCAUGUUUGAGGGAAAGUAGUACACACAUUUUUUGAGUCCUGGUUGGAAGUAUUUUUACUAAUGUAAUACAUACUGUGAUAUAUACACAUAAUAUAGAAAAAAUAUAGAAUGUGCAAUAGAAUAUUUAAAAUAUACAUUUGUCAUUUAAACAUAUAAACACAAAUACAUAACAAAUAUAAUAUAAAAAAUAGUUAUAGGUAGGUAUAAUUCAGUAAAUAAACAUACAUGCACUUAUUUUUAUAUGUACGUAACCCUAUGACAUUUUGAUCUUAAGAUUUCUUUAUAAAUAUAUAUUUAUGUUGCACACAGUGAGUGACUCCUGUGAGUAUCUUCAAAUAUUUUUUUAAAUGUACUUAUACAAAUAUAUUGUACAAAUAUAAUCUGUCUGUUGAAAUAGACUAAUAGAUUAAAGAUUUAUGUAAAACUUAAAAUUGCCCUCUUGAUUUGGAUUAAAUUAUUUUAUUUACUGCAAGAGAAAACGGUAGAUUUUAUGAGCUUGUCUGAGGGGUCUCACUGCAAACAUUUAAACAUUUAGUUAUAGAGUCCCUUAGAGAUGACAUAUUUUUGUAUGCAAACCCUAGAAGCAAGUUUUUUACGACCUCCGGUUCCAUCGCCACAAAGUCUAUGGGUUUUUUGAAUGGGUUUUUGGUAAAUCGCCUGAAAUUAGGUGUGUGGUGUCAUAAGGUGUCAAGUUUGCGAAGACUGUACCGAUCAUUUUGAAGUGGAAGCACAAACAUGAAAUCUACAUCCUGAAUGGCUGUUCCCUCGGCCCAGUCCAGAAUGAACUUCUGCACAGAGACUGUUUUUCCAAUUCCAGCGAUCCCUUUAACGAUCUUGAUUUUCUCUGUUUUAUAUUGUGAUCCAGGUAUGGGUUCAACAAUGUCAUUGCAUUGGAGUGUCUUGUAAGUGUUGUGUUCUUCUGGGCUCUUUAUGUGUAAAACCUCAUGUUCUUCUUUGAAUCCUUCACUCUCUCCCUCUAUGAUGUGUAAAUUCUGUUUAAGAGGUUUUGAUUCUCUUGUAGUUUGUUUCACUCAAAUAAACUCUCA